rnacentral:rRNA from 1 species
AAAAACUAUCACUUUAAUUUUAAAAAUUAAUAUUAAUUUAAAGAAAUGAAAAUGAAACCUAAAAAUUACAAAGAAAACUUAUUUGUUGUACCUUUGGUAUCAGGGUUUAUAGAAUAAUUUAAUGAUAAUAUGAAUCCCGAAUUAAAAAGAUUUAUUAUAUUAUUAUUUUAAUGUGGCAAUAUUAAAAAAAUUUUAUAAUGGAAUUAAAAAAUUAAUCGAGUUUUAUAAUCUGGUUCCCAAUUUUAUGCUUCAGGCUAAUACCAAAUUUAUCAAAUUGGAAAUUAUAAAUUUUAAGGUUAACCUUAAAAUUAUUUUAUAAAAAAUCAUUAAUCAAUUUUUUCCACACUAAAAAUAGUGGGGGUAAAAUAAAGAAUUAUUUUCUUUUAUUUAUUUAUUAUAAAAUUAUUAUUAAAAUAAACAACUAAAUUUUAAACUCGGCAAAAUUAUGAAGCACCUGUUUAACAAAAACAUGUUUUAAAAAAUUUAAUUUUAAAUCUACCCUGCUCUCUGAUUUCAGUUUAAAGGCCGCAGUUAAUUGUGCUAAGGUAGCAUAAUAAAUUGUCUUUUAAUUAAGGUCUAGAAUGAAUGGGUGGAUGCCUUCUAAUCUUUAAAAUAAGGUUUAUAAAAAUUUUAAUUUUGAAUUAAAAUGUUCAAAUUCUAUAAAAAGACGAGAAGACCCUAAGAAUUUCAUAUUUUAACUUAAAAAAGUGUAUAAUAUUUAAUUGGGGAAAUUAAAUAAAUAAACUUAUUUUGAUUAAAUUUUAUCACUAUAGAUGACAAAAAAAGAAAAUUUUUUUAAUUAAAUGAAUAAUUACCUUAGGGAUAACAGCAUAAUUAUAAAUCAGGAGAUCAAAUUUAAAUUUAUGAUUGUGACCUCGAUGUUGAAUUAGGAUUUUUCUCUAUGUAGAAAUUUAGAAAUUAAGUCUGUUCGACUAUUUAAUCCUACAUGAUUUGAGUUCAGACCGAUGUGAAUUAGGUCAGAUUCUAUCUUUUUUAAAAUCUAUUGUGUACGAAAGGAUAAAUGAUGAUUAAUUUAAAAAUUUAUGAAUAAAA